rnacentral:tRNA from 1 species
GGAGAGAUGGCAGAGUGGUCGAAUGCGGCGGUCUCGAAAACCGUUGUUCGCCGAUAGGCGAACCGGGGGUUCGAAUCCCCCUCUCUCCG